CAGCGGCAAUUUUUCGCCGUGGUCCGGCCUAGGCUCGUCCCCCGCCUUUUCCGGACGAAAUAGCGGCAGCCUCAUCCCCCCUCUCCGGGCUGCCGCGGUGUUUCAAGCAUGGCCGCCGUGGUUUCCCCUCCACCACGGCGGCUCUUG
rnacentral:sRNA from 1 species